GACGAACGCUGGCGGCGUGCUUAACACAUGCAAGUCGAACGGAAAGGCCCUGCUUUUGUGGGGUGCUCGAGUGGCGAACGGGUGAGUAACACGUGAGUAACCUGCCCUUGACUUUGGGAUAACUUCAGGAAACUGGGGCUAAUACCGGAUAGGAGCUCCUGCUGCAUGGUGGGGGUUGGAAAGUUUCGGCGGUUGGGGAUGGACUCGCGGCUUAUCAGCUUGUUGGUGUGGUAGUGGCUUACCAAGGCUUUGACGGGUAGCCGGCCUGAGAGGGUGACCGGCCACAAUGGGACUGAGAGACGGCCCAGACGCCUACGGGAGGCAGCAGUGGGGAAUAUUGCAGAAUGGGCGGAAGCCUGAUGCAGAAGCGCCGCGUGCGGAAUGACGGCCUUCGGGUUGUAAACCGCUUUCGCCUGUGACGAAGCGUGAGUGACGGUAAUGGGUAAAGAAGCACCGGCUAACUACGUG
rnacentral:rRNA from 1 species